UCUAUCCUCUUCUCUAAGGUCUCUCAGUCUUGCUUUUUGUGAUUUGCAAGGAAAAUUCCCAAAAAACAUUUUUGAUUUGCAAAACCUCAAUCUCCUCAACUUGAGAUACAACCAAUUGAGUGGACAAAUUCCAAGAUCAUUGGGGAACCUCUUGCAACUCACUCAUUUACACUUGUCGGGGAACCAAUUGAGUGGACAAAUUCCAUUGUCAAUUCUAAACCUAACGCAGUUGGAAUACUUGGAAAUAUCUGAAAAUUCUUUAGAAGGUUCCAUUCCAGAUGAGGUAACCGCUUUUCCUAAUCUAAUAUAUUUAUACUUAUCUGACAAUUUACUCAAUGGAACACUUCCGUCAUGGUUGUAUACUGCUCCCUGCUUAAAGGAAAUAUAUCUCUCUCAAAAUCAAUUCAGUGGGCAUAUCAAAGAAUUCCAAACCAAAUCACUAGAAUAUUUAUAUCUAGAAAAUAAUAAACUCCAAGGUCCCCUUCCAUCUUCAAUAUUCCAACUUCUCAAUCUUACCGGGCUCCUUUUAUCCUCAAAUAAUCUUAGUGGUGUCAUAGAGUUGAGCAUGUUCUCAAACCUUCCAAAUCUCAAAUAUCUUGACCUUUCAUAUAACAGCCUAUCCUUAAUAUCUAAUACUACUUCUACUGUUAAUCAUAUAUUGCCUAAUCUUACAGGCUUACAUUUGUCAUCUUGCAAUCUUAGUGAAUUCCCCCAAUUUUUGAAAGGGCUUAAAAGUUUGGAAAGCUUAGACCUCUCUUGCAACAAAAUUGAAGGCAAGAUUCCACAGUGGAUGCAAGAGGUGGGGAAUGUCUCUUUGACUUACUUCAACGUAUCUCACAACUCUUUGACAGAAGUUGAGCACUUUCCAUGGAAGAAUAUUGAUGUUCUUGACUUAAGCUCCAAUUUGAUCAGUGGAAAUCUUCCGAUUCCAGCUUCGACGAUCAGAGUCUUUCUGAUCUCAAAUAAUAGUUUCAAUGGAGAGGUCUCUUCUUUAAUAUGCAAUGCCAGUUCUCUUCAAAUUCUUGAUUUGUCCCACAAUAACUUGAGUGGAACAAUUCCGCAAUGUUUCGGAAAUUUGAGCGACAGCCUUGAAUUCUUGAAUCUGAAGAAGAACAAGUUUUAUGGGACGAUUCCUCCAACAUUUGCAGAGGGAUGCCAGUUGACUAAUUUCAACUUAAAUGGAAAUCUGUUAGAAGGGCCUUUGACACCAUCCAUCCUUAAUUGUAGAGGUCUGGAAGUGCUAGAUCUUGGUAACAACAAGAUCAAUGAUACAUUUCCUCAUUGGUUGGGAAAUCUUCCAUAUUUGCAAGUUCUUGUAUUGAAGUCAAAUCAUAUGCAUGGUUCUUUGCGUGUCAAUAGCUCCAAGUCUAGCCCCUUUUUCUCUAAAAUCCAAAUUUUUGACCUCUCAAGUAAUUAUUUUUCUGGACCCCUACCUGUGAGGUACAUCAACAGCUUCAAGGCUAUCAGAAAUCUAGAGAAGAUUCGUAGUACAGUGUCGUACAUGGGGGUGAAUGGUCGGAAUGGUAGUGGCUUCUAUACCUAUUCCAUUGGAAUUGUUAUGAAAGGACAAGAUAUGGAAUUGGUGAAAAUUUUCACCAUGUGGAUGAUCAUUGAUCUAUCAAACAAUCAGUUUGAAGGGGGUAUUCCAGAGGUUUUUGGAAAGCUUAACUUACUGAAAGGGCUCAACCUUUCUCAUAAUAACCUUAGUGGUGGUAUCCCCACCUCAAUAGGGAAUUUGACAAGUCUUGAAUGGUUGGACCUAUCUUCAAACAGGUUGUCUGGGACGAUUCCAAAUAGAUUGGCAGAUCUGGCAUUUCUUUCGUCCUUCAAUGUUUCUGAAAAUCAACUCCAUGGUCAGAUUCCUCAAGGAAAACAAUUCAACACAUUUGGAAAUGAUUCAUAUCAAGGGAAUAAGGGACUAUGCGGGUUUCCAGUCUCGAAAGGUUGCAACAUCAUUGAGCCAGCACCUCCAAAUGUGCUUGAAAAAGAUGGCUCAAAAUCAAACAUUACUUUUGGUUGGAAAGUGGUGUUGAUAGGUUAUGGAUGCGGAGUGGUGUUCGGAAUGUCCGUGGGAUAUGUUGUUUUCCAAACUGGUAAGCCGAAAUGGUUGGUGAAUUUGGUUGAAAUCCAACAUGAGAAGAUGCGAAGAAGAAAGUCAAAGGAUGGCAGUCGCAGCAAUGGACGAAGAAGGAUCUAGUUAGUGGAAAUGGUGUUCAAGUGUUGAUGUUGUAUCUUCAUAAUUUCUUGUUUUGAAGUCUUUCAAUUUUUUUCCUAUGGUGAAAGGUUGCAUUGCCAUGCAUCUGUCUUUAUUAUUGUAACAAUUCAUCUAUAUUUCAUUGCAUUACGUCCUAUAACAUUUUGUAUGGUUCAACCAUUUAUAUCUUCUUUCAUGACUUCCAUUUUUGAGUCUCAAUAAUCUCUGCAUUCAAGAUUUUGUCAGCUUAUUAAUUGGUGGAUCAAUAAUCUUCAUGCUCAUCUCAUCAUCUUUUUCUCGAGUUUCUUCUGUGUGGAAAAUAAUUUGACAUUCUGCAAAUUUCCACAAUGCUUGUGGAUUACCUUUGGUUAACAGCUAUACAUAUAAAGGAAGAAAACAAGACCAUGUCCAAAUUUCCAAAAAUUAGCCAUUGAUUUUUGAACAGUUAAACUUUCGUAUUCUAUUUUUUAAAAUUGUAAAUUCUCAAAUAAUGUAAAUUAGUCCUAAAACUCAAGUUUUGAAAUCUUUACAAUUUAACCCCUUAUAGUUUCAAACUUUACUGUUUUAUACUCAACUUUCUAAAUUUUCAUAUUUCAUGAUCAUAUAAUUUAGUUACUACAUCAAUAUUUGAGAUUUCACUACUCAAACCCUUACUUCAUUUCGGUCGUUACUUCAAUUUUAUCAAAUUACAUCAUUUUUCAAUUUGAAUGCAUUGAUGUGAAAUUGAGGGACCACUAAACAAUGUUGAUGAGAGUUUAGGCAAAAUUGGUGGAUCCGAUCUCCUUAGUAAUUUCUUUGUGGAAGUACCUACUUUCACAAUGCAAACUUGGAUAGUUUGUGGUGGACGAUGAUGAAUCAUUUCACAGUCAAACACAUAAUUUUUAAACACAAAAUUAACGAUAUAUUGAAAUCAUUAUUGAAAUUAUAAUCAAAAUUAAUACAUGUUCUUUUUAUUAGCUUAAGGGCGUAAAAACCCUUCAAAAUUUUCAAAAAAAAAAAAUUUAAGUCCUUUUUUUCUACUCAAUUGAGCACUUAAACUUUUAAAAUGUAUCAAAAAUAUCUUUACACUUCUUCAAAAAAAGCAAUUAAACCCCUUUUUUUUCCGCUCAAUUGGGUACUUGAACUUUCAUAAUGCAUAAAAAAAACCUUAAAUUUUUUUUCAAAGAAACAAUUAAGCCUCUAUUUUUUUCCCACUCAAUUGGGUACUUGAACUUUCAUAAUGCAUCAAAAAGGCCUUUAUUUUUUUUCAAAAAAGCAAUUAAGCCCCUACUCUUAUUAAAAAUUAGAAAAAAUCAUAAAAAUAAUAAAGUUCAAGUACCCAAUUGAGUGCCAAAAAAUAAAGUAGGGGCCUAAUUGCUUUUUUUGAAAAUGUUUGAGGGUCUUUUUGAUGUAUUUUGAAAGUUCAAGUACCCAAAUGAGUGCAUAAAAAGAACAGGGGUUUAGUUGCUAUUUUUGAAAAAGUUUGCACCCUUAAACCUCUUUUCUUUUUCUUUUUCAUAUGUGGCCUUGUUUGCUACAACUUAGUUGCUAAGUUAAAGGGAGUGAAUAGAGCACCAUUUUCUUCUUCUGCGUGGAAAAUUAAGUUGGCAUUAUGCCAAUUUCCACAUUCAUACAUACAAAGGAAGCAAGAGCAAGUCAAUAUACUUUGUAAUCUCAUCAAUUCUAAUUUUUAAAGUGUUGUUUACUACACACUUAGGGACCAUAUAUGUAUAUAUACAUUGCAGUCUGGGUCUUUGUCGUGUUUUGUUGGUUGGCUAUGGCCUUCUUGUUGUUUCCACUGUCUGCGGUGUUUGUUUCUAAGUCAUAUGUGGCCCUGUUUGCUACAACUUAGUUGCUAAGUUAAAGGGAGUGAAUAGAGCACCAUUUUCUUCUUCUGCGUGGAAAAUAAGUUGGCAUUAUGCCAAAUUCCACAUUCAUACAUAUAAAGGAAGCAAGACCAAGUCAAUAUACUUUCUAAUCUCAUCACUUCUUCUUUCUUUAGGGAGUUCAAGUGAAAUACAAAUUUUUUCACAUCCAAUCUCAUAAAUAAUCCGUCUUUGAACUUUCACCAAAAAAUAUUAAAUACCCAUUCACUUCAAUUCUACUAUUCUUAAAUCAUUAAAGUUUUGUGGAAAAUAUGCUUCUUGGAUAAAAUUAUUCAACACACAUGCCUUGAAUUUUAUGCAAAUAAAAUAAAUGAAUAUAGGCCACACAUGCUUUGAAUUUUUAAGUAGUCCAUAAUUUUGUUCGUUUGUGUGCAAAAUUCUACAUUGCUUGACAGCCAUACAUACUAAGUAAAUAGACACCCACAUUGUUUACAUAUUAUGAGGAAGAAGACCAAGUCAAUCUACUUUGUAAUCUCAUCAAUCUUAAUUUUUUCAGUUGUUUAGGGAGUUCAAAUGAAAUACAAAAUUUUGAAAAAAAAAUGUAUCCAAUUUUGUGAAUGAAAAAUUUAUGGUAAAAAGGAUUUGGUAUGGAUACUUCAGCCCGGGUAGCAAUACUCAGGGUAAGUUUAUCAAUACAUUGCUUUUGGUUGGAAAGUGGUGUUGAUAGGUUAUGGAUGCGGGGUAGUGUUUGGAAUGGCCAAAAUAUAGCAAUCGCAUCAGUGGAUGAAGAAGGAUCUAGUUGGUGCAAAUGAAGUUAAAGCAUUUCUGCCGUCUCUUCAUAAUUUCUUGUUUGGUAGUCUGUCAGAAAGUUUUUCCUAUGGUGAAAAGUUUGAGUUGCAUUUAUAAAAUUUCCACUGUCAAAAGAUUCGAUUGCACUGCAGGGUAACAUAUUUAAGAUUGGAUUACACUGUCAAAAGAUUGCAGCAACGAUGAGAUUAAUCCAAUUACAGGAAUUGGUAUCCUAAAUGGCUUUUUGGUACGUAGCUUCAUUGACGGUACAAACUAGUUAAAAUUUCCAGCAUUCAUGUGUUUGUUUUCCCUCAAGUAAACGUAGUCAAUACUGCAAAUGGUGUGGAAGUACUGUACAUUGUGGCCCAAAUGUCCAAAAUUUCCACAUUGCAUGUAAAUUAAGUUUGCGUGAGAGAGAUAGGAGGAAGCAACAGCAAGUGUGAAGUCAAUAGACAACUGAUAGUCUUAGUCUUUUUUUGUCGAGUUAAAGUGUAGUCAAUAGACAAUUGAUAGUCUUAGCCCUUUUUGUGGAGUUAAAAGUAUAGUCAAUAAACAAUUGAUAGUUAAAUUUGUAGCAUUCUUCUUCCUCUUUAUUCUUUUGUGUGGAAAAUUAUUUGGGACCAAACUUGACGUGUUAUAAGGAAGAAGACUUUGUAAUCUCAUGAAUGUUAAUUAUUUUACUUCUUUGGUAAAAAAAGUAACCAAUUUUAUGAAUGAAAAAUAUUAUGUGGUAAAAAGGAAGUAGUUGUUCAUCACUAACAAUAUGAUGAUUGUGGAAAUACAAAAAAUCCCAUAUAUGUGUUGAAUUCUGCAUAAUAUAAAUGUCCUGCAUUGCAUGUGAAUUCUGCAAUAGACCAAACUUUACGUGUUAUAGUCCUUUAAACUGAGUUAAUGAAAAGUAACCAUUCUUAUCAAAUUUAGUUAUACUCUUAAUUUAUAACAAAGGAAAGAGUAAUUUGAGUUUAACUCAAAGGUUAAUAUGUCAUCAAUGGGUGAUGGCGUGGCGCUACCAUGUCAGCGAUUAUUUUCUUCUUUGAAUUAAGGUGAUUUCACCAAUUUUAGUUUACUUUUUUACUUCAAUUUAGGUUUAUGCUUAUUAGCUUCAAAGAUUCUAAGUGGGUGCCACAAUCAAAGGGUGAGUAAAAAGGGUUAAAAAUGAUUUUUUUAAAAUUUUUUAUUUUUAUUAAAAAUUUAGAAUUAGAAUUAGACAAAUUUUGUAAAAGUUAAGGGCUAACUUUAUUGAUUUUUUUUUUCAGAAUUCGAACUAAAAUUACAUUUUGUAAAAAGAGCUAAAUUUGUUGAGUUUUUUAUAUUUAGGAUCAAAUUGAUAGAAUGUGUAAAUAUUAGAGGUUAAAUUUGUUAUUAGAUCAAUAAAAAAACCCACAUUAGCUUUGCGUCACUCAUCUAACGACAACUAAAGGGAGAGUUAUUAAAAUAUUUAAUUUCAAAAAGUUUAGCAACUAAAUUGGAAAAUUUAAUAGUUGGGUGACUAUUUUUGCAGUUUACUACUUUUUUGGUCACCUGACUAUUAAGUGACACUUUUUAGUUGGUAUAAUAAUAAUUUUAGUCCUCAAUUUUUAUACUUUCUGUCAAUUUGACUCUGAUUAUAUAAAAUGAUUACAAAAGUGAAAUUCUUUUUAAAAUUUACAAAAUUCUAAAAAUUAAAAAUUAAAUGAAAGUAGAUAAAAAUUUCAAAUAUAAACAAAGUGAGAGAAAAUGAGGGAAAUAUUAUUUUUAAACCCUCCAACUUUUCUUUGUAUUAUCGUAAAGAAAUAUCUAAUAUCCAUUCUUUUAGAAAACAUAGAAAAAAGUAAAAAAAAAAAAGAUUAAGUAAAAUUAUCUGUAUAUAAUCUGCUUUUAUAAUUUGGGUUUUUAAAAAUAAAUUUAAAUGAAUUGAAAAUUCGAAUUGAGUUUGAAAAAUAAAAUUUUGUGGUAUAUUUUAUAUUUUUGCUAGAAAAAUGGCAUCAAAGUUGAUUUUGUAAGCUUUUGUAAUAUCAGUUACGGAUGUUCUUCAAGGGCAUGGAACUCAACUUGAAAAUUUUACUAAUUUGGUUGCAAAAAAACAUUGAGGAAGCAUAUAAUGAUCUAACCUUUUUUGUUUUGUUUUGUUUUUAAUUUGUUAUGGGAUUCUAUUGAAUGAUAAUUUUUUUUUAUUUCCCAUACAUAUUAGUUCUUCAAAAACAACAUAUUCGAGAUUUUAUUUUUCUAGAAUUUUUAUAUAGAAGUUUAUAUUUUUUAAAAUAAAUUUGAGUUUUUUUUAGAAUUUUUAUAUAGAAUCGAGGUAAAUUGGCAAAAAAAAUUAUAAAAACAAAAUACUAAAAUUGUUAUUAUAGCAACUAAAAAGUGUCAUUUAACAAUAGGGUGACCAAAUUGUAACUUUUUUAGUUAAGUGACCAAAACGAAGAUUUACCCAUAGUUUAGUGGCUAAUUAUGUAGUUUACCCUUUCAUAAUUAAAAAAUAGUUGUUAAGUUUUUCUUGUAUUAGAUAACAAUUUAGAUGGUAAAAACCCUCUUUAGUCCCUCUCAAUUUUGAUAUUAAGUAAAAUUGUCCAUUUAAAAAAAAAAUCAAAGCAAUUUAAUAUUUGUUAAUUUCGAAAGUGAGCAACUAAGGACAAUUAAUCACAAUGUCAAUAUUUUCCAUCAAUUGUACAUAUUUUUAUUGGUGUAAUAACAAAUUUAGCUCUCAAAGUUUACACAUUCUGUCAAUUUAGUCUUGAUUUAACAAAUUUAACCCGCAACAAUUACAUAUUCUAUUAACAUUGACACAUAAUAUAUAAACAUUGAGAGCUUAAUUUUUUAUUGUAUCAAUAAAAAUUAUGUACAAUUUACAUAAAGCAUUAACACAAUGAUUAAUUGUCCUUAGUUGCUCCCUUUCAAAAUUGAUCAUGAUUAAAUUGCUCUAAUUUUCUGAGAGGAACCAAUUUGUUCAAUAUAGAAAUUGAGAGGGACGAGAAAUGUGUUUUUUAUCCAUUUUAGAUACCAACAAGUGUUUGGCAUAGUCGCAAGACAUAUUACAUUCUCAAGGAGAGAAUGCGUAGUCAAACGUUGGAGAUAUCAAUGUUGUGUGGGGUAUCCAAGGAUCUCGAACACGAACUGUAAAACAUAUAUAAAGAAUAAAAAAAUAACAUCUUAAUUUAAAUAAUUAUAAAUUUUAAUUUGAAAAAAGUAUUUUGAGAAACAUAAGUUUUAGAAGUAGUAAAAUUGAAUCGAUAAAACAUGUCCAUUAUAUCAGAAUCAUAAAAAUACAACUUAAUUAAUUUGAAUUUAAACUUAACUCAACUCGACUUGAUUAUAAAAACUGAUAAUUUGAAUUCAAAAUGACAUGAUCUUGAAAUGAUUUGAAUUAAUUGUCAGACCCGAACGACAAAACUCGAAAUGAUGCAAUCCAAAAACACAAAUCAAGUGAACUAAACUACGAAAAAAAAAACCUUACACUGACUCAAAUCCAAAAUAGUUUAAUCCUAAAAUAACCUAAAUUUUAUAUAAUAAAAACUCGAAAUAACCCGAAAAUUUUUAAAUUAAAAUUGAUCCGACCCAAAUUCACACCACCUAAAAUCAAUCGUAACCACCUAAUUAAAAAGCAUGAAAUGAAAUGAUGUAAAGAGAAAAUCAGAGAAAACCAAAUAGAAAGUAACAAGCCUUUUUCAGAAUUGAAAGCAAAUUCCGUACAUUCACGACAUGCAUAAAACAACAAUGGUUUAUAGAAUUUGAGUUUUAGUCCCUGUACUUUAAAAGUUAAUUUUUCUUAAUUUAAAAACUUUAGUUUAAUCAUUUAUGUUGGUUGUAGUUUCCGUUAGCUUAAUCAACAUGUUAAAUUACUAAAUUUUGACAAAAAAUACUUACGAGUUUAAUGAUUGUACCGAGAUUUUUAAAUAAAAAAGUCGGAAGACUAAUUUCUAACCUUUUAAAUAUAGGGACUAAAAGCAUCUUUUAACUUUGAUAUUAUUAUUAUAAGCAGGGAUAAUGUCACCUUUGGCAUCUGUACUUUCAUAAAAUGUCUAGUGGUACAAGUACUUUGAAAAUAUAUAAUGUGGUACCUGAACUAUCAAUAGGUGUUAUUAUUAUGGUACAUGUACUUUGAAAAUGUUUAAUGUGGUACCUAAACUAUCAAUAUAUAUUUUAUUAUGAUACUUGAUAAAGACGGACUAUGGUGGCUUAGGGGGCUCUUUGUCCCGCCACCCUUGCAAAAAAAAAAAAAAUCGAAGAAUUUUGUUUUUUCCUUUAAAAUUUUUAGAAAAUUUCAAUUAGGCCCUCAAAAUUUUUGAAAAUUUUCAUUAUACCUUUUAAUUUUUUUGAAAAUUUUAAUUAAGCACUCUUAAAUUUUGAAAAUUCUCAUUGAUCUCACAAAAAUUUUAAAAUUUUUUAUUAGACCCCCAAUUUUUUUAAAAAAAAUCUUAUUAAACCAUUAAAUUUUUAGCAAAUUUUACCUGCCCCCUCCCCCCCAAAAAAACCUAGUCCCAACUACUAGUAUCCGCCAUUGUUACUUGGUAUUAACACUGUUAGAAAAUUGCUAAAUCAACCAAUAAAAAUUUGACACAUAGAACCCUUUUUUUAAUUAUCAAGUCCACGUGGAUAAUAUAAUAGUGAAAAAAUAAAUAAAAAAUAAUUAAAUGAAAUUAAAAAACAAAUAACUAAACAUAUGGUUAAUAAAAAAAAACCCAUACUUUCAAAGAUAAUAAAAAAUAUUAUUUAAAAAUCAAUUGAAAAUAUUAUUUUAAAAGGAAAACUCUUUGAAGAAGAUGAUCAUUUGCUUAAAUGGAGAAUAUAAUAUUUUUGGUUAUGUAAGUUUAGUAUUUACUUCUUUUUUAUUAAUCAUAUGUUUAGUUUUUUUUUUAAUUAAUUUAAUUGUUUUAUUUAGUUUUUCACAUAAUGUUAUUUUACACAUGCGGACUUGAUGAAUUAGAAAAAAAAUAUUAUGUGUCAAAUUUUCAUUGGUUGGUCUAAUAAUUCAUUAACGGUGGAUUUGUUCUACAUUGAUGACAAAGAUGUGGAGUUUAAAGAAGUAAGAACUUAUCAACAAUAUUCGAGGUUCUGUUAUAUGUUACCUUAUUAAAAAAGUCAUCACUUAAAUUCUUCUAUGUUGCCUUAUGUAUGUAGGUUCUUGAGUCACCUUUGCCAAAAGCACCGCUUGAUACAUCUGUUACAUCCCACUGGCUUGCGAUUGAAGGCAUUCAACCAGCAAUUCCAGAAAAUGCUUCAAUUGAAGGUACCGUCUUAGCUAACCUAAAUAUUCUCUCGAAGCUAUUUGUGUUGAAGACUCUCAUGGUUCAUGUUCUUUUCUGGUUUUAUCACUUUAAUCUAAUACGACUUAUCGUCAUUUCUACACGGAAUUUGUAUUUUGCUUUCCAUGCAGCACCUUCUGAUGGUAAAAAGGCUGAAUACAAAAAAGAUGGGCUUUCCGUUGAUGUCAAAUUACCUGUUAAGCAUGUAUUAUCUAGAGAGCUUCAAGUAUGUUGUACAUCUUCAGCAACAUUUUUCUGUUAAAAUACAUUUUGCACAGAAUGAUAUUAAAAGACUAAUUUGGUUGUCAUGCAGCUUUACUUUGACAAGAUCGUGGACAUUACCAUGAAUAAAUCAGUCUCAAUUCUCUUUAAACAAGCAUUACUGAGUUUGGCAACAGACUCGGGAUUACAUCCUUUAGUUCCUUAUUUUACAUAUUUUUGCGGAUAUCUCAUACCUGAUUAUAUAUGUGUGUUGCAAAGAACUUUUGGUUGGUUAUCUCGAGCUUACAUUUUUGCCACAUUUAUCUCAGGUUGCACGGAGUAAUUUCCCUCUCAUGUUUGCUUUGAUGCGUGUUGCCCGGAGUCUUCUCCAGAAUGAACACUUACACAUAGAACCUUACUUGAGUUUAUUAUUUCAAUCAUUUAGAAGUACACGAACUAAUGCAAAUAUGCUAGUGGUUUAUUUUCCACCUAUCUGAUUUUUUAAAAUGUUCUUCAGUUACACCAGUUGAUGCCAUCUAUUAUUACCUGCCUCGUUGCAAAAAGGUUAGGAAAUAAAUUCACCGACAAUCAUUGGGAACUUAGAAACUUCGCAGCAAAGCUAGUGGCAUCAUUAUGCAAAAGGUGAGGAUUUCUUUUCUUUUGGACUUAUACAUGCAUAUUCGUUUUUAUGAAUCUCAGGUGUCUGAUUUUUUAGUUAUAAACUUGGAUCUAUUCUUCAAAUCAUGUGUAUAUCAUUUUUAUGCUAUUUCACACAUGCAAAACAAAUGGUGCGAGCGUGCAUGUUAUAUGCAGAAUGCAUAGAUUAAUUACAUGUGGAUCAUUAAGCAUGCCUAUGUUUGACCAUUGUGUGUGGCUACUUUUUUUUACAUGAUCCAAUUUUCGAUAUGCUUUGCUUUUAGGUUGAAUGCGGAAAAGAUUAGAACUUAGUUUCCAGCAUAAUGAUUUGUCUUGGAUAUGCAGAUUUUUACAUGCAUUUCUUACAAGUCAAUAUUUUAUAGAUUUGGGCAUGUUUAUCACAAUCUUCAGCCACGUGUGACAAGGACACUGCUCCAUGCUUUUUUGGACCCAACGAAAACAUUUCCCCAGCAUUACGGAGCAAUUCAAGGGUUAGCAGCCCUUGGACCCAGUGUGGUAUAAUUCUAAUCUCAAAUAUUUACUAGCAACACAAUAAGAUACUUGUUUGUGGGAUCAACUGGUCAAAGAUAUUGCAAUGAUAGCCAUCUUUUUAAGCCCAUUUCUUUCAGAAAACUGUUUUGUCACUCUUUUCUGCAAGAUCCGAAGAAAGAAAGAACUUGGAAAUCUAUAGUCCAAAAGUGUAAAUAUGCGGUUUCUCUAUAGGUAUCUUUAUUAUGGCAUCUGUACAGUUUGUCUUUCAUAUGUUUGGCUAACGCUUCUUCUUCCAUGUGUAGGUUCGUUUACUUAUACUACCAAAUCUUGAAGCGUAUUUGCAGCUUCUUGAACCUGAAAUAAAAAGACACGAGGCCUGGUGUGUUUAUGGGGCCCUGCUGGUAAGUUCCACAUCAAAUUUGGUACCAGUUUAUGAGCAUCGUUUCAUUUAUUUGCUGUAGAACUAACAACACUGCAUAAAAUUUCCACUAACAGCGUGCAGCUGGACUGUGCAUGUAUGAUCGGCUUAAAAUGUUCCCCAGUUUGCUAGCACCCCCAACUCGUCCCGUUUGGAAAAGCAACAACAAAGUUGCGACAAGUAUGAUUUCUUCGAACCAUCAUAUUUACACUUAAUCCACAAGUCUCUUCUCCCCCUUUACGAUAUUCCUUUUUCUGAUCAACCAAGAUAAACGAAAAGCAAGCACGGACACCUUGAUGCAGCAGCAACAACCUGCCAAGAAAAUAGCAACUGAGAGUGCAAUAGGUAUGAUGCCAAUAAAUUCCAUGCAAGCUGAUUUACAAGGGUCAGUUAGCGGCUUUUCUACCACCGUAGGAGGUUCCAAUAUCGGUGUAUCAUCAAUGUCACGGCCGUUAUCAAACUAUAACAUGCUUGGAAGGGAGGCUGGGGGUCGAGUUUCAAAGACAUCAACCGUUCUAGCUCAGGCUUGGAAGGAAGACACAGACGCAGGGAACUUGUUAGCAUCAUUAUUUGAACUUUUUGGUGAAAGUAUGUUAUCAUUUACUCCCAAACCUGAGCUUUCAUUCUUCCUUUGAUUGAAUUUCACCUCCAAAAGCUAUAGUUUUUGAAGGAAUUUGUGUAAAUUAUCCCCAUAGUUUUUUUCAGUCUUACUGUGUUUAUCUUUAUAAGUCUUCUUUUUUUCCUUGCUCAUAAAUGUAUUGUAGUUAUCAGAAAAUAUAUUCUACUUUGGAUUUUGUUUAUAUUAAAUUUUAGGUUAAAUUCUGCUAUUAGUCUCUGUAUUUACGAAAAUGAUGGAUUUAGUCCUUAUACCUUAAUUUGAUCAAUUUUAGUCAUUGUAUUUUUUGAAUUGGUCAAUUUUAAACUAUUUACUUUUUGAAGUUUGAAAUUUUAGUCUUGAUCCAAAUAAUAAUAAUAAUUAAAUCUGCUUAUUUAAAUUCAAUUAUUAGUUUUGUAUUAUGUAGAUAGUUAUAAAUUUAGGGUGGGUUUGGAUGGGCUGUGCUUUUACCUGCAGUUAGUGUAAAAAUAGCGGCGGUGGUGAGAUUAGAUAUCCAAGGUACCUAAUUUUUAUUUUGGCCAUAAGUACUACUAAAACUAUUCUUCCGUUACCCAUUUUAUACCAAAAUGUUAUAUCGGCUAAAAAGAUUCCAACAAAUAAUAGAUUGUAUGUCAUAUAAACUUUUUUAAAAAAUCAUUAAUUAAUUAAUUUUUAUAUUUUUCUUUCUUAUUCCUUUAUAAUGUUUGACAAUGUCGAUAAUGCUUGAAAUUGGCCCACUUGAGGUCGAAACGCUGGUGAUUAAUUUUGGUUUUGAAUUUCACCACCUACUUCUCUGACCAGAGGGGAUAGAAAAAGUUCUUUCAUCGAUCAAAACUAGUAUUUUCAAAAACAGACUGAUUCUACGGGUUGGAUAGGAAAUCGGUUUGGAAAUAGGGGUUGAAUCGAUUGACUUGCGAGCAAAAACAAAUCGGUUGAACUAAGCUAAAAAAACUGGUUGAAUAAGUUCUCUCUUUUUAUAUAUAUAUAAAUAAUAAUAGGCUUUGUUUUUACUACAUGUCAAUUUUUAAUUGGUUAAUUUUUUUUUCAUAUAAAUUGAACAAUUUGACUAAUGACGGAGGUACCAAAUUAUAGUCUAGGUACCAAUUUAUGGGUUAAGCCUAUUUAUAAAAUAGACUUUUGACAGUUUGACUAAUGGCGGUAGUAACUUGGGAAAAAAAAGUAGUUUAUGUACCACUUGUGACAAAAAAUAAGAUUAGGUACCAACAUGGGAAAAUGAGUAUAAUUUAGAUACCGAUUUAUGAGUUAAGCCUAAUAUAUUUGUCGCAUAAUUUUUUGAAAAUAACAGAACUUAAUAAAUUUAACGGUUAUUGUUUGGUGAUUACUAAAAUUUUAAAAUUUGAAAAGUACAUGAACUAAAAAUGACCAAAUUAAAAUAUAAAUAUUAAGUCCACAACUUUUGCAAAGUACAAGGACUAAUUGCAGAAAUUAACCUAAAUUUCAUAUGGGUCAAUUACAAAAAUAAUCACUAAACUAUCCCUUUGGUUCUAUUCUAGUCACUCAACUAUAUAGGUGCUCAUGAGCUUGGCCAGGUCAGGCCUAAGUAAGGGUGAGCAUUCGAUUGAAUCGAAAAUAGGGUUUGGGAUAGAUGGGAGGGGAAUAAAAGUUUUAGGGGAAAAGUGGGAGGGAGUAAAAAUUUUGGGAGAAAAUAAAAGGUUUUGAGGGUUUUGGGGAGUAAAAUAUUGAGAAAAAAUAAAUAGGAGAGUAAAAUUUUGGUGGGAAAUGGAUUUUGGGUAGAUUGGGGGGUUGGGAGGGGAGGGGAGUAAAAGUUUUGGGGGGAAAGUGGGAAGGAGUAAAAGUUUUGAGGGAAAAGUAAAAAAGUUUGGGAGUUUGGGGUAAAAAUGUAAAAUAUUAUAGUUUGAUAUUCGAAUUAUUCGAAUUAUUCGAGUUAUUCGAAUUCGAAAACUCAACUCGAUUCGAACUCGAAAUUCGAAAAAAAAUUCGAGUUGAUUCGAAUAACUCGAUUCGUUUAACUCGAAAUUUGAAUUUUUUUCAAUUUUUUCGAGUCGAAUCGAGUUUUGCUCACCCCUAGUUGCAAGUGCAACUUGCGUGGUGGCUGCCAGAAGGACUGAAUCGUAAAUGUAGCAAAAGUUUUGGGGCAAAAAUGUAAUUUUGAGAAAGUUUAGGGUCAAAAUAUAAUUUUAAAAAAUAUUAAGGGUUAAAAUAUAAUUUUAUAAAAAUUUAAGGGUCAAAAUGAAAUUUUAGAAAAGUUCAGAGGUCAAAAUACAAUUUUUAAAUUUUUUUUAAAAAAAAAAACACGAAAUUAUUCCCACAAAAUUAAGUGAUUACACGUAACUUUUCAAUGUAAAAGAAAAAAAAGACUGUAACACCAAUGUUGUGGUGUUAUUUGUUGCCUAUAAAUACCAUUCCUAUUCUUCAUCUUCCUCUGCAAACAUAACAUGGCCCCCUAUCUCUUUCUCUGCCUAUUCCUCUUCUUUCCCCGUCUUUAUGCUUCUUUUUCUUCUUCAGGAUAUCAGUCCUGCUCUUCAUUAAUCCAGUUUAAGGACUCUUUUUCCAUAACAGAGGAUGCUUCUUCUGAUUGCAAUGAGAUUGCUGGCCUUAAAUCUUAUCCCAAGACAAAUUCAUGGAAGGAGGGUACAGAUUGCUGCUCAUGGGAUGGGGUCACUUGUGACCACCUAAAUGCUCAUGUUAUUGCCCUUGACUUGAGCUGCAGUUGGCUAUAUGGCAACUUCCCUUCCAAUACCACUCUCUUCCUUCUUCCUCACCUUCAAAAACUCAACCUUGCCUACAAUGAUUUUAAUCUUUCCAAAAUUCCAUCCGAGUUCGGUCGGUUUACAAGCCUAUUCUACCUCAACCUUUCCCAUACAGAGUUUGAAGGAGAAGUCCCAUCCCAAGUCUCCCACCUGUCAAAAUUGGUUUCACUUGAUCUCUCCUCUCGGAUUGAUUACUCUGGGCAAGUUACAAUUGACAAACAUGCUCUGGAGGGACUUGUUCACAACCUAACCGAGGUCAGACAUCUGUUUUUGGAUGGAAUGGACAUGUCUUCUGUUAAUGCUCAUGUCUUCAUGAAUCUAUCCUCUUCUCUAAGGUCUCUCAGUCUUGCUUAUUGUGAUUUGCAAGGAAAAUUCCUAAAAAACAUUAUUGAUUUGCCAAACCUCAAUCUCCUCAACUUGGGACGUAACCAAAACCUCAAUCUUGAUCCUUUGAAGUUCAAUCGGAGCAGCAAUCUCGAACAUUUGGAUCUGUCGUGGAUGUCCUUCUCUACAGAAUCCGUUAAUUCAGUUGAUAAUCUACAGGCCUUAAAGUACUUAGAUCUAUCAGGAAAUUCUUUCUUUCAAGGAUUGUCUGUCUCAAUCACAAAUUUAUCAUCUUUGGAGCAAUUGAUAAUUUCAGGCGCAAAUUUUUUUGGAGGAUUGCCUGACUCGAUGGGGAAUCUUGUGUCCUUGAAGUUUUUAUUUCUCUCCGAUUCCAACUUUUCAGGACCGCUUCCAAGAUCACUGGGAAACCUCUUUCAACUCAAGUGUUUAGACUUGAGAUCAAACAAAUUGAGUGGACAAAUUCCAUUGUCAAUUCUAAACCUAACGCAGUUGGAAUACUUGGAAAUAUCUGAAAAUUCUUUAGAAGGUUCCAUUCCAGAUGAGGUAACCGCUUUUCCUAAUCUAAUAUAUUUAUACUUAUCUGACAAUUUACUCAGUGGAACACUUCCGUCAUGGUUGUAUACUGCUCCCUCAUUAGACAGUAUAGGUCUCUCUCAAAAUCAAUUCAGUGGGCAUAUCAAAGAAUUCCAAUCCAAAUCACUAGAAUUGAUAGCGUUAGAGAGUAAUAAACUCCAAGGUCCUCUUCCAUCUUCAAAAUUCCAACUUCUCAAUCUUACCCACCUCUCUUUAUCCUCAAGUAAUCUCAGUGGUGUCAUAGAGUUUCGCAUGUUCUCAAACCUUCCAAAUCUAAAACUUCUUGACCUUUCAUACAACAGCCUAUCCUUAGCAUCUAAUACUACUUCUUGUGUUAACCAUAUAUUGCCUAAUCUUACAGACUUACGUUUGUCAUCUUGCAAUCUUAGUGAAUUCCCCCAAUUUUUGAAAGGGCUUAAAAGUUUGAAAAGGUUAGACCUCUCUUGCAACAAAAUUGAAGGCAAGAUUCCACAGUGGAUGCAAGAGGUGGGGAAUGGCUCUUUGACUUACUUAAACGUAUCUCACAACUAUUUGACAGAAGUUGAGCACUUUCCACGGAAGAAUAUUGAAGUUCUUGACUUAAGCUCCAAUUUGAUCAGUGGAAAUCUUCCGAUUCCAGCUUCGACCAUCAAUGUCUUUUUGAUCUCAAAUAAUAGUUUCAAUGGAGAGGUCUCUUCUUUAAUAUGCAAUGCCAGUUAUCUUAAAAUUCUUGAUUUGUCCCACAAUAACUUGAGUGGAACAAUUCCGCAAUGUUUUGGAAAUUUGAGCAACAGCCUUCAAUUCUUGAAUCUGAAGAAGAACAAGUUCUAUGGGACGAUUCCUCCAACAUUUGCAGAGGGAUGCCAAUUGACUAAUUUCAACAUAAAUGGAAAUCUGUUAGAAGGGCCUUUGACACCAUCCAUCCUUAAUUGUAAUGAACUGGAAGUGCUAGAUCUUGGUAACAACAAGAUCAAUGAUACAUUUCCUCAUUGGUUGGGCAGUCUUCCAUUUUUGCAAGUUCUUGUAUUGAAGUCAAAUCAUAUGCAUGGUUCCUUGCGUGUCAAUAGCUCCAAGUCUAGCCCUUUUUUCUCUAAAAUCCAAAUUUUUGAUCUCUCGAGUAAUUAUUUUUCUGGACCUCUACCUGUGAGAUACAUCAACAGCUUCAAGGCUAUCAUAAAUCUAGAUAAGAUUGGGAGUACAAUGUCGUACAUGGGGGUGUAUGCUCAGAGAGGUAGUGGCUUCUAUACCUAUUCCAUUGGAAUUGUUAUGAAAGGACAAGAUAUGGAAUUGGUGAAAAUUUUCACCAUGUGGAUGAUCAUUGAUCUAUCAAACAAUCAGUUUGAAGGGUGUAUUCCAGAGGUUUUUGGGAAGCUUAACUUACUGAAAGGGCUCAACCUUUCUCAUAACAACCUUCAUGGUGGUAUCCCCACCUCAAUAGGGAAUUUGACAAGUCUUGAAUGGUUGGACCUAUCUUCAAACAGGUUGUCUGGGACGAUUCCAAAUAGAUUGGCAGAUCUGGCAUUUCUUUCGUCCUUCAAUGUUUCUGAUAAUCAGCUCCAUGGUCAGAUUCCUCAAGGCAAACAGUUCAACACAUUUGGAAAUGAUUCAUAUGAAGGAAACAAGGGAUUAUGUGGAUUUCCAGUCUCGAAAGGUUGCAACAUCAUUGAGCCACCACCUCCAAAUGUGCUUGAAAAAGAUGGCUCAAAAUCAAACAUUACUUUUGGUUGGAAAGUGGUGUUGAUAGGUUAUGGAUGCGGAGUGGUGUUGGGAAUGUCCGUGGGAUAUGUUGUUUUCCAAACUGGUAAGCCGAAAUGGUUGGUGAAUUUGGUUGAAAUCCAACAUGAGAAGAAGCAAAGACGAAAGUCAAAGAAAGGCAAUCGAAGCAAUAGACGAAGAAGGAUCUAAGUACAGCAAAUGAUGUUCAAGAAUUAGUGUUGUAUUUUCAAAAUUUCUUGUUCUGUAGACCGUUUUGCCCAUGGUGAAGGGUUGCAUUGGUAUGUGUAUGUCUUUAUUAUUGUACCAAUUCCUGUCUUUCAUUGCAUUUCGUACUAUCUGUAAUGGUUUGUUUGAGUGUAACAUUUUGUAUGGUAUUGUUGUUUAUGUCUUCUUUCAUGACUUUCCAUUUAGUCUCGAUAAUCUUUGCUACUGCUCAGUAAAGGAGGAAGGAGAAUAAAAUGUCUCAAUUUAUGUCAAUUUAUGCUUGCAGAUUUGACGUGGAAUGUUGUUGAACUGAAGGUUGUUUAACUUUUGUCUUCUAAGCUAUACAUGAACAUAUGGGAUGUGACAAAUAUUAUUUUAGCUUUUGCUUAUGAAAUGUUGAAAUAGUGAGUUUAUAUUCCUUGAUUAAUAAAAAGUGAGAUGGAGAUAGUCAAACCUCAAUUUCCACAUUGAAAUUGAAUCCAAACAUUAAUUGGUGGAUCACAUGUCUUGUAUUCUGUCAAGUUAAAGGGAGUGAAUAGAGCACCAUUCUUCUUCUGCGUGGAAAAUAAGUUGGCGUUAUGCCAAUUUUCACAUUCAUACAUAUAAAGGAAGCAAGACCAAGUCAAUAUACUUUGUAAUCUCAUCAUUUCUUCUUCAUUCUUUAGGGAGUUCAAAUGAAAUACAAAUUUUUGGUAAAUCAACUCUUCUUUUUUAUGAAUAAAAAUUAUAUGGUAAAAAGGAAGUGGUGUUAAUAAUAAUAAUAAUAAUAAUAAUAACAACAACAAUACAAAACUAAUAAAGCAAUUUAGUCUAUGAUUUGCACAAUGAUUAAUGUAGCGACCUAAAAAUUUAGGCACGAGCGCUAAUUGAAGUGAUUAUUGAAAAUUUGAAAACAGAAUCUCGAUUUUAUUUGAAAAAGGAGUCGCUAUCGAUCUUUUUUUCUAGGUGUGAUCGGACACCUAAUAAAUUCUCUUUUUAGAAGAAAAAUUUAUUUUUAAAUUUUUCUAAAAAUAGGUAAUUUUUCUAAAAAAUUUAGGGGUCAAAAUGUAAUUUUUUAUUUUUUGAAUUUUUUUUGAAAUUUAAAAAAAUAUAUAUAUAUAAACACGACAAAACCCGGACAAAAUUUAGUGCUUACAAUUAAUACCUAAUUUGAUCCUUGAAUUAUAGUUCAAAAAGUAUUUUUAUAUUUUUAAAUUUUCAUAAAAAUAAUUGUAUCAAAAUUUAAAAAUCUUAAAAAUAAAUACAAAUUUUAUAUAAAAAAUCAAUUGGCCCAAGAAAAAAAAUUUACCAACUAAAUUUUCCAUAUCCAAACUCAUAAAUAAUUCUUCUUUGAACUUUCACAAAAAAAUAUUAAAUACCCUUUCACUUUAUCAUUAUAAAUAUAAUAUACAUUUUUUUCCUUCUUUUUCAUGUAGAUCAGCUUCAACUCUACUAUUCUUAGAUCAUUAUAAAUAUAAUAUAUGUUUUAUUUACAGCUGAAAGUAAAACCUUGAGUUGAAAUUUGGCAGAAAAAAUUGUGGGUUUGGAGAAGAAGAAGAGCACUUUGUAUUUAAAUUUAAAAAAUCAAAAAUUUCAAAACUGAAAGUUACUCAAAACCCUAAACAAUCUAAUAAUUGGAGUUAUAGAAAAGAAAUAUGAGUUUAGAAAUAAAUAAAACAAAAUAAAUUUGCAAAACAAUUUCUAGGCAAAACAACAUGAAGUUGUUGAUGUGAUUGAAGGUGUUCUUCAACGGUGGAAAACAAAUAGAAUUUAAUUUGAAAAUUUUAAGAUUUUUUAAAUAAUAAAAAAUUGCAUUAGUUUAAAAACUUUAGUUUUAAUUUUAAGAUAUUUUUAGAUUUAUACAUAUUUAAUUAUUUUUAGAUUUUUUAGAUUUAAAUGAAGUUACAAUUAUUUUUGAAAACGGUACCUCUACAUUUUUGAAGGUACAAGGAAAUAAAAUAUGGAUUUGGUAUCGAUACUUCGGCCCGAGUAUCAAUGCUCGAGGUAAGUUUAUUGAUACCUUGCGAAAGGUACCAAUAAUUUUUUUAUAUUUUGAUAUUUGGUAAGAAACAUAAUGUUAGUUUGGUAUCGAUUUUCCAUGAGAUAUCAAUACCACUUAAAGAAAAUAUCGAUAGCCCUAGGACAGUAUCAAUACCUAUGUAACAGUUUUAGAAAUUUUGCAACUGGGCCCAUUUGUAGGUUUGAUUGAUGUUUUUAAUACCCUUAGUGUAUGUAUGGCAUGUUUUAAUGAUAAGAAGUGGUUGAACGACUACAACUCAUACGUAGGAUUGAAUAAAGAUGAUGAUUGGUUACUUGUGAAAUUGUUUGCUAAGUAAAUGAUGCAUGAUGGUGGUGUAACAUCCUAAUAUUUCGGCUUGGCGACUGAGCCGAGUAUAGGGUGUUACAAUGUGUUCCACAAGUUUCAUCAGCAAUCCUCAAUGCAUCUAAUUAAUUGGGAAAAUUGAGAAAAUAGAAAUGGUCAAGAAGAUGUAACAUGAUGAGUACCUCUUUGCACCGUCAAGAAUUUUAGUAAGUCUCCAAAUUCAUUCAUUAACCCUCCUUCCUGUUAAAUAUUUAUCAUUAAUUUUAUUAAAUUAAAACAUAAAUUUUUAUAAAUCUAAAGUGUAAUUUAUGAGCCGGGUUAUUCAAUCCAAAAAAAAAAAAUCAGCCAAGACUCUUUGGACAAAUUGCUUGAGUAAAACCAGAAAAUGAAUAACAAUUUUGAUGGAUUUUGAUUACAAAUGAAUUGAGGCAUAAUGCCAUUACAUAUACCAUGCAUUCAGCUGGUCAAAAUGAGACAGACAUCACCUAAUCAUCAACCUAACUCCACUAAGUAGCCUUGAAACUUAUGAAAACAUAACUUGCACACAUAGGUACGCUGAUUUAUCAAUCUAUCAGCACCUAAUUACAUCAAACAUGUUACCAACUUAGUUCAAAUCAAACUAAGCAAGAAAACAUUAACUUAAAGUAACAAAAAAUGAACAGCAGCAUGAACUUCAGCUGCAACUGCAUGGCUGGAGCAGCUCUGCUUCUUGUCUGCAUGCCGGCCAACUUCAACAAGAUCUGAGUAAGGCUAAUUUGUCCAGAAGUUGCAUCAUGCAAAACUAUUUAAUGGCUUUUAGGUAGCUUUGUCAACGGCAAAAAAAAUGAGAAAAUUAGUCAAAUUUCUUCCAUUUUUAUCUUUAAAAAUUUGGUUUUGUGCGUCAACAUGAAGUACAUGUGGCACGUACAUGCAAACUGUCUGAUUAUUUAGACAUCUACACUAGUUUUUAAAGGUAAAAAUAGAAGAAAAUUUUAAUAAACAAGACCAAUUAACUCUUUUAUCUAGCAUACAAGAAUUAUUCUAUACAUCUUUCAAUAAAUGGGGAAAAUUACAUCCACACAUUCUCCACAUUUCAGACCUGUAAUUCUAGCCAAUUGGUCACAAGCAUACAUGUCCCAUUUCAAUAUUCAAAGGUCUGCUUUGAUUAUUUUAUUUUGUGUUCUGUUGUCGCCCCAAAAUAGUUCCACUUGGCACAUCUCCAUACAUUUCAAACAUACCAAAAAUCUGCUGGCAAGCAAUACAAGACAAGUUCCAGCCACUUCAACAUUUGGCUCCUGUUCAUUGCCAAAAGAAAAAAAUAAACAUUUUUUAUAUUUAAUUGAAGGUCAAAAACACAUAAAAAGACAACCGGACAGCUAGUAUUUCAUCCAAUCUUCACAACAUGUCUGUGUGCGUGCAGAUCCUUCACUUCCCAGAAGCCUUUAGCGCGUAUUCUAUUAUAAAAUCACAGAUUACUAUUUAAAUGAUAAAUAAAUUAUUUAAAGUAUGAAAAUAUACAUGUUUUUUUUUAUUGGCUUAAGGGCGUAAAAAAUCCUUAAAUUUUUUUUUUAAAAAAGACAAUUAAAUUUCUCCUUUUUUUACACUCAAUUGAGCACUUAAAGUUUUAAAAUGCAUCAAAAAUACUCUCAAACUUCUUCCGAAAAAACAAUUAAAUCCUUAUUUUCUUUCCCACUCAAUUGGGUGCUUGAACUUUUUCAUAAUAUUUUUUUGGGCGAUUUAAUGAACCAUACAAGUUUCAAGGCUAAAAGAGGCAAAAGAAAAAGAAAAAGAAAAAGAAGCUAAAAUGACUUUUUGUUUGUAAAGUCAAAAAAUACCAAAUAAAUCAUUAUGUCUUUUUAGUUUUAAUUUUUUACUUGAUUAAAAGAGAAAUAAUUAACGAAUGAAAAAUAGCUAUUCCUAAAUAAAUUUAUCAGAAUUUAUAACAAAUGAGAUUUUAGAUUUGAAGUAUGAGGUUAUAUAUAUUAUAUAAGUAUACCUGUUUUUAUGGAAUCGGUGGAUUAUAUUUUCGACAGUCUUCUUCCCCAAGCGUAGUGAAUAGAGCACAAUUUUGUUCUUUUGGAUGGAAAAGAAUUUCUACAUUAAUUAGAUUUGGUUGACAGGCAAAUGAAUAGAUACACACAUUUUUUACGUGUUAUUAAGGAAGAAGACUAAGUCAAUCUACUUUGUAAUCUCAUCAAUCUUAAUUUUUUUAGUUGUUUAGGGAGUUCAAAUGAAAUACAAGAUUUUGCUAUAAAAAAAAAAAGCAUCCAAUUUUAAGAAUGAAAAAUAUACGGUAAAAAGAAGACUAAUGGUUGUUGAUGAUUGUGAAAAAUACAAAAAUUAUUUGUUGCCUAUAAAUACCAUUCCUAUCCUUCAUCUUCCUCUACAAACAUAACAUGGCCUCCUAUCUCUUUCUCUGCCUAUUCCUCUUCUUUCCCCAUCUUUAUGCUUCUUUUUCUUCUUCAGGAUCUCACUCCUGCUCUUCGCUAAUCCAGUUCAAGAAUUCUUUUUCCAUCACUCAGACAGAUGUUGCUUCUUCUUAUUGCGAUGAUCAAUCUUAUCCCAAGACAGAUUCAUGGAAGGAGGGUACAGAUUGCUGCUCAUGGGAUGGGGUCACUUGUGACCACCUAAAUGCUCGUGUUAUUGUCCUUGACUUGAGUUGCAGUUGGCUAUAUGGCAACUUCCCUUCCAAUACCACUCUCUUCCUUCUUCCUCACCUUCAAAAACUCAACCUUGCCUACAAUUAUUUUAAUCUUUCCAAAAUUCCAUCCGAGUUCGGUCGGUUUAUAAGCCUAUUCUACCUCAACCUUUCCAAUACAGGGUUUGCAGGAGAAGUCCCAUCCCAAGUCUCCCACCUGUCAAAAUUGGUUUCACUUGAUCUCUCCUGUCGGGCUGAUGCACAAACAAUUGACAAACAUGCUCUGGAGGGACUUGUUCACAACCUAACCGAGGUCAGACAUCUGUUUUUGGAUGGAAUCAACAUGUCUUCUGUUAAUGCUCAUGUCUUCAUGAAUCUAUCCUCUUCUCUAAGGUCUCUCAGUCUUGCUUUUUGUGAUUUGCAAGGAAAAUUCCCAAAAAACAUUUUUGAUUUGCCAAACCUCAAUCUCCUCAACUUGGGAGGCAACCAAAACCUCAAUCUUGAUCCUUUGAAGUUCAAUCGGAGCAGCAAUCUUGAACAUUUGGAUCUGUCGUGGAUGUCCUCCUCUACAGAAAUUGAUUCAGUUGAUAAUCUACAGGCCUUAAAGUACUUAGAUCUAUCAGGAAAUUCUUUCUUUCAAGGAUUGUCUGUCUCAAUCACAAAUUUAUCAUCUUUGGAGUACUUGAUUCUUAGAGGCGCAAAUGUUUUUGGAGGAUUGCCUGACUUGACGGGGAAUCUUGUGUCCUUGAAGUUUUUAGAUCUCUCCCAGUCCAACUUAUCAGGACCGGUUCCAAGAUCACUGGGAACCUCUUGCAACUCACUCAUUUAGACUUGUCGCAGAACCAAUUGAGUGGACAAAUUCCAAGAUUAUUGGGGAACCUCUUUCAACUCACUCAUUUAGACUUGUCGUGGAACCAAUUGAGUGGACAAAUUCCAAGAUCAUUGGGGAACCUCUUGCAACUCACUCAUUUAGAUUUGUCGAUGAACCAAUUGAGUGGACAAAUUCCAAGAUCAUUGGGGAUCAUUGGGGAACAUCUUGCAACUCACUCAUUUACUUGUCGGUGAACCAAUUGAGUGGACAAAUUCCAAGAUCAUUGGGGAACCUCUUGCAACUCACUCAUUUAGACUUGUCGGUGAACCAAUUGAGUGGACAAAUUCCAAGAUCAUUGGGGAACCUCUUGCAACUCACUCAUUUAGACUUAUUGGUGAACCAAUUGAGCGGACAAAUUCCAAGAUCAUUGGGGAACCUCUUGCAACUCACUCAUUUACAGUUGCCGGUGAACCAAUUGAGUGGAAAAAUUCCAAGAUCAUUGGGGAACCUCUUGCAUCUCACUCAUUUACACUUGCCGAUG
rnacentral:lncRNA from 1 species